rnacentral:misc_RNA from 1 species
AAUGUGAUGGGUACAUUGACAUUAAACGGGCACAUUUUGGCAACCUUGAAAAUGACAUUCACAAUAUAUGUAUUUGCAAAUUUACCUCAUUGGUGCACUUGGCACGGCUUGCUAUUGCCUUGAAAAUGGAUUAGCGAGGACUCCUCCCAUGGGAUGGUUGUCUUGGGAGCGAUUUCGGUGCAAUACCGACUGUGUAAAUGAUCCCGACAAUUGUAUUAGUGAACGACUAUUUCAAGUAAUGGCUGAUCUUCUUGUCUCGGAGGGAUAUGCGUCUGUGGGAUAUGAAUAUGUUAAUAUUGAUGACUGUUGGCUGGAAAGGCACCGGGCUCCUGACGGCAAACUUUUAGCUGAUCACAAGCGAUUUCCCCAUGGAAUUAAAUCAUUGUCUGACUAUAUUCACUCACGAGGAUUGAAGUUCGGAAUUUAUGAAGACUAUGGCAAUUUCACAUGCGCUGGCUAUCCUGGUAUCAUAGGGUUUGAAAAAUUAGAUGCACAUCAGUUUGCAGAAUGGAAUGUUGACUAUGUAAAAUUAGAUGGCUGCUACGCAUUACCAUAUGAUAUGGAUCGAGGCUAUUCCGAGUUUGGAAGACAUCUCAAUAGCACUGGAAAACCAAUGGUUUAUUCUUGCAGUUGGCCUGUUUACCAAAUAUACGCCGGAAUUCAACCAAAUUUUUCAGCCAUUCAAAGUCAUUGCAAUCUGUGGAGAAAUUUCGACGAUAUCCAAGAUUCAUGGGCGUCUGUUGAAAAUAUUAUUGAUUAUUAUGGUAAUAAUCAAGAUGUGAUAGCUCCUAAUGCUGGCCCCGGACAUUGGAAUGAUCCUGACAUGUUAAUCAUUGGAAACUUUGGGCUUAGCUAUGAACAAGCAAAGACUCAAUUUGCUGUAUGGGCAAUUCUGGCUGCUCCUCUUUUAAUGUCUGUUGAUUUACGAACAAUACGGCCUGAAUUUAAGGAAAUUUUACUCAAUCGCAAGAUUAUUUCUGUAGAUCAAGAUCCAUUGGGGAUACAAGGUCGAAGAAUAUAUAAGCAUAAGGGAAUUGAAAUUUGGUCAAAACCAAUUAGUCCGGUUUAUCAAAGCUUUUAUUCUUAUGCUCUUGCAUUUAUAAAUAGACGGUCUGAUGGUACACCCUCUGAUAUUUCCGUAACAUUGAAGGAAUUGGGGCUUACCAAUAAUUAUGGAUAUAGAGUUGAGCAAUACACAGCUUAAUCUCCAAGAAGAAUCAAGAUGGCGGCGGUCUUCUAGGCAAGACCCUCAGGUCUUCGCUUUGGUGCCACUAGAUGCCACAGUGGAUGCCUCAUGGUGAACCUCCAUCGGGCCAAAAAGCGGAAGCUGUAUUCUAGCAGGGAUUCAUACUAAAGACAGCAUCUGCCUCGGAACAAUUAUGUCAUCAGGGACAUGUACACAAACAAUUCGAAGAAUUUCUUAAGAGAGACCUUGCAACUGCAACAAUGGUUGUGCCCACUUUGCAGAAGAAAAAGCCUAUGCACUCCCCGAAGUCGUGAGCCUGGUUAAACACUGAACACGAGAGCAGCUUCCUAUAAUCAUUGGCAGCAGCGACAUCAACUUAAGUGCCUGAUUGUUUUUAUUAUAAAUAAUAACUUAGAAAAUGUCGGAAGUAUACUGCCAUUCGAUACUAGAGUCAGGGAAAAUUGUAGGACAUAGCCUUGCUUAGCCCAUCCACCAACUGGUAUGUGUUUUUAUAAUAUUCCACGUCCGAUCCCAGAGAAAUCAAAACAAAUACAAUUAGCCCGUAUUCCAAAAAAAAAACAAGCUACGAUUUUUACCUCAGGUAUGUAUAUCAUUUACCAUUUUGCAAUGACCAUGGCGACCAAUAGACUUAUUAUUAUUUAUUGGGCAUCAUAUUUUAAAAAGUCAAUUAAAAAACUAGACAUAUAUAAUAUAGCAAGGAGCCUUAGGUGGAAGAUCAUGUAGAUAAAACUAAUUAUUGAGUUACAAGUUCAGAGAGGAGUUAAUUGUGAUAGAUUUGCUAAAGAAAGAUUUUUCCUUUCUUGUUAUGCUCUGUACCCAUAAAAUAAAAGAUUAUAAAUUGUAUGAUAAAUUUCGACAGAUAUUUCGAAAUUUCAAGACGGUAAGAUGAGACUGUCUGACUGUCUUUCCAUCUGCCUUUGAUAGUACCAGACAGGCUUAUAAUUGUACGCUAAGUAUUUAAAAACAAUUUUUUUUUAAAAACACCUCAGGUUAGAUUUAAGGACGUAUUCCUUAAAUGAAAAAUACAGCAUGUAUCCUAGUCGGGCGCUCUCGACUAGAUCAUUUUUGCUUUUAUUUUUGCAGUAACAAACUUAAAUGCUUCAUUCCUCCUUCAAAUUAUUUGCCGAAUAUCAUUCAAACAUUAUCAAAAAAACUAGUUUUUAAACACGAUUUUAAUUAUAAUUCUAUUACAAAGAAUGAACUUAUCUGCUUAUAUCUAAGGGUCGUCAUAAAACUGUUUUUAUCUCAGCAUGUAUGUACAAAUAUCUUUUGAAAAUCACUUAUAUCUUUCUUAAGACACAUUUAGUAUCAUCAUAGCCUAAUCACGGUAAUACUAACGCAAUUGAAGUAUUGUAAGUCUAAUGUAAUUUAGGACAUUAAUCCAAUAGACGUUAAUCUGUUAAGGACAUCAAUAAUGACUUCUAUAUUAUUCUUUCGGCCAUACAAAUUUUGUUGUUUUUGUAU